rnacentral:rRNA from 1 species
UACGGGGGGAGCAAGCGUUGUUCGGAUUUACUGGGCGUAAAGGGCGCGUAGGCGGCCACCGCAAGUCGACUGUGAAAUCUCCGGGCUUAACCCGGAAAGGUCAGCCGAUACUGCGGGGCUAGAGUGCAGAAGGGGCAACUGGAAUUCUCGGUGUGGCGGUGAAAUGCGCAGAUAUCAGGAGGAACACCGAUUGCGAAGGCAGCUCGCUGGGACGUAACUGACGCUGAGACGCGAAAGCGUGGGGAGCAAACAGG